GACGAACGCUGGCGGCGUGCUUAACACAUGCAAGUCGAACGGAAAGGCCCUGCUUGCCGGGUACUCGAGUGGCGAACGGGUGAGUAACACGUGGGUGAUCUGCCCUGCACUUCGGGAUAAGCUUGGGAAACUGGGUCUAAUACCGGAUAGGAACCAUCUUUAGUGUGGUGGUUGGAAAGUUUUUUCGGUGUAGGAUGAGCUCGCGGCCUAUCAGCUUGUUGGUGGGGUAAUGGCCUACCAAGACGGCGACGGGUAGCCGGCCUGAGAGGGUGUACGGCCACAUUGGGACUGAGAUACGGCCCAGACUCCUACGGGAGGCAGCAAUGGGGAAUAUUGCACAAUGGGCGCAAGCCUGAUGCAGCGACGCCGCGUGGGGGAUGAAGGCCUUCGGGUUGUAAACUCCUUUCGCUAGGGACGAAGCUUUGUUGUGACGGUACCUAGAUAAGAAGCACCGGCUAACUACGUG
rnacentral:rRNA from 1 species